rnacentral:lncRNA from 1 species
AAUGGGAUUCUCCCCCUCUGAGCCCCAUUUUCAGCUUUUUAAAAGACUUUACGUCCAUACUUGAGAAAGAGGGCUGAAGCCGUUGAAAGUCACUCCCAGGACUCUGUCUUCGCCUAACAGACACCUCAGCCACCGCUUUAACAUGGCUUGUGGUUCUUUAUGGAUUGGCAACUUUGUGUAUAAUCAGAAACUCACCCUAUUCUAACAGGGAAUAGGAAUUUGGCUUUCCCAUUCCCUAACUGAUAGACCCCUUAAUUUAAAAUUUAUUCUCAGGUUUCUUAAUCCUUAUUAACUAAAUAACAAUUCUUAAGGAUUAUCUUAUUUCUUAUUAUUACUGCUAACCAAGAAAACUGUGAGUGUAGAAUCCAUGUAUCCCUGCGUAGAAUCCACUGAUUCCCUUAGCAGCAGCAGCAGCAACAACAACAACAACAAAAGCUGGUAUCUUAUUAAUUUGUAACAAAUAUACUGAAUAUGGCACAAAACUGAACAAACUGUAUAGUUUUUAAUGAACUGUCAUGAACUACACAUACCUAUUUAAUUAUAUAAACAAAUCAGAAAACCACUGGACCCAAGAAACAUUGGAAUUCACCCCUCUAGUGAGCCAUCUCAAAGGUAACAUGAUUCCUAAGGUCCUCUGUGCAUAACGAUGCUUCUGGCAAUGGCAGAGAAUAUCAGUAGUCCCACGAGACUAUAGUGCCACCAUGACACAGGGGCCAUCUUGCUUUGCAUAGCCACACCCCGUAAGGGUCUCACAAUGAUGUAUUUCUCAGCAUGGGUCCCCAUCGGCAAGCAAUGCGUGACUGUGUUACAUGUGGAGUUUUGGCUGACCAAGAAUCUGUGUCCCGCCUCCUGCCUUUCCCUCAGGAUCGUGUGUUUAGCAUACAUCUUUGUUGCUUGUCAGGGUAGCAGACUUUUUUUUUUUUUUUAAGAUUUAUUUAUUAUUAUAUCUAAGUACACCGUAGCUGUCUUCGGAUGCACCAGAAGAGGGUGUCAGAUCUCAUUACGGAUGGUUGUGAGUCACCAUGUGGUUUCUGGGAUUUGAACUCAGGACCUUCGGAAGAGCAGUCAGUGCUCUUAACCACUGAGCCAUCACAUCGCUGAUUAGAACUCCCCUAAAUACGCACCUCUACGUAUCUAUUACAGCUUGGAUGGACAUGUGUGCUAUUCCCUGCUUAGAGUGUAUGAUGGGCUCGGAACCGUCCUUAGUGCCUUCUGGUGAACACUUUUGUGCCUUGGUAUUGAGUCUCAUACCUUCCAGGCAAACUUGUGGGACAAAGAUGUCCUUUGUUGAGCUUUGGUGGGAAAUGUCACAUCGUUUUCCAUAGAGGUCAUAGAAUUCAACCAGUCAUGCAGGAAAUUUCCAGAUCCACCCUAAACUUGUCAGUGCUUCUGGAAUUUUCUCUCUCUCUCAUCGUAGACAUCCUGAUACCUUGUCUAGAAACUUGUUCUGCCAGUUUGAUGAAAUGUCAUUCAUUUGCAUCUUUCUCCCCCUCUCCAGACUUGCGUUAAACACAUUUUAGGAAAAAGUUUGGGAACAGAGGCCCUCCUCAGCCGUGUCCUAGUUACAAAGCAAUGUUAGUUAAUAGUCCUCACAUCGCACUUGUGUUUCAGAGGGAAAAACAAUGGAUCCGAAGCACAUUUGAAACAUUCUGCUGCUAGGUGGGCUGUCAUGGGGUUUUAAUCCCAGCACUUGGGAGGUAGAGAUAGGUGGGCUGAAAGUCAACCUGGGCUACAUAGUGAGAUUCUGUCAUAAUCCCUUGCUCAAAUGCUCUGUUGUAGCAGUUUUUGUUUGUUUGGUUUUUUUGUUUGUUUGUCUGUUUGUUGUUUUAAUCCCACAGUGGUUUCGGGGGGGGGGGGGCACAAAGAACAACGAAUUUUUAGACUUUGAAGGUAGUUGCAUUAAGGAAAUUUAGUUAGGCUAUUGUUGGGCCAUUACAAAUUAAUUAUAAUAUACCCCACUAAUUUUCUUAGUUAACUUGCAAGCACUUUAUUAAACAGUAGUUGACCUCUUCUCUGUGAAACAAACACACACAUUUACAUCAGAAUAACAUAUAGAUUUCUUUUAUUUUGAGAUAAUGUCUCACUCUGUGAUCCAUACUGGCCUGGAACUCACUAUGUAGCCCAGGCCAGCCUUGAACUUGUGGCAGUCCUCUUACCUCAGCCUCCUGAGUACUGAGGUUAUAAGUGUGAACUAACCUGCCUGGCUUAAAAACAUAGAAACUAGCAUGCAUGUAUUCGUGCAUGUAUGCAUGCAUGUGUGUGUGUGUUUAUAAUUAAAUGGUGUUGGUACAUCUCCAUGACUGCAAUUUUGCUAUUGUAUCUAUUGCUUUGAGCUUCCUUCUUUGGGUCUUAAAUGUUAAAGUCUAGAAUCUUCAUCCCUCAUUUCUACAAACACAUGCUUCACUCUUUCAGAAACUCCCCUUGUUAGUCCUCAAUGUUUUCUAAGGUUGCCUCUAAACUAAAUGAAGUCUACAGUGUGUAGGGUCUAUUGUGCACCAAGAUCGGAGCUGGGCAUACUGCCUCUAAAUAUAAACCUGUGGUAUCUGGGAAAAAAACAAACUUCCUUUUAGUGUUUUAUGUAUCUGAGAAAUUCAAACAAGCCUGCUCCUUUAUGAGGGUAGUAAUUUAAAGAGAGUGUACUUUACUUUGAGGCUCAACCCCCACAACGUACUGCAGUCUGGAAAAAUCUCAUGCUUCCCUUAAAAAAUAAACAGCAAACCAGCUGAUGAAAUUCAGGCCUUGCCAGAAAAGUUAUUCUAGCUAUAAUCAGGAUCUGUGCACACUGCGGAAACCAUCUAAAGCUUUGGUAUCUAGGUACCCUUUCCAGGCUCGCAUUAGCCAGCAAAUUUUCAUCCUCAGUUAAGCAAUCUAUCUUGACAGAAUUGCUGCCAGUUGUAGUCCUUCUCAAACCUGGCAGAAUAUUAGGCAAGAACUAAAAAUCACUUAUCAUGCAUGCAUAUAAUAUUUUCUCCUCAUGAAUGAGCAGAGUGAUACAUUUUGAGGUCACCAUCCCUUCUUCUUGGAAACUGUCUUCCUUUGUGGGUCUUCAGCAUUUCAGACACAUUUAAGCCACAGCGGUUCUAAAGGGAGCUGAAGUAAAACAAACUGGAUUUCCCCUACCCCAGUUGAGUGACCUGAUUGAUUCAAAAGCCAUGCUAUGGGUUGGCACCUCUUCCCUUGUAUAUUUCUCAGCAAAGCCUUUGUAUACACCGUGCUUUCUCCUACCUGUCCUCUGCUGCCUUCCACACGAUGUUGUGCCGAAUGUUCCGGGACUCAGCAUGUGUCUACAACCUGCCCUUUCUACCCUCGUCCCUUCUUCCACACU